GAUGAAGAACGUAGUGAAAUGCGAUAAGUAAUGUGAAUUGCAGAAUUCAGUGAAUCAUCGAAUCUUUGAACGCACCUUGCGCUCUUUGGUAUUCCGAAGAGCAUGCCUGUUUGAGUGUCAUGAAAAUAUCAACCUUGACUUGGGUUUUGUGCUCUAGUCUCGGCUUGGAAUUGGGUGCUUGCCGCUUUUACGAGCGGCUCACCUUAAAUGUAUUAGCUGGAUCUGUCUUUGAGACUUGGUUUGACUUGGCGUAAUAAGUAUUUCGCUAAGGACAUUCUUCGGAGUGGCCUCGUUUCUAGGACGCUUGUCCGCUUUCCAAUACAAGUUCCACCUCGUGGACAUGACUUUUUAUUAUCUGGCCUCAAAUCAGGUAGGACUACCCGCUGAACUUAAACAUAUCAAUAAGCGGAGGA
rnacentral:misc_RNA from 1 species